CGUAGGGUGCAAGCGUUAAAUCGGAAUUACUGGGGCGUAAAAGCGUGCGCAGGCGGUUUUGUAAGACCGAUGUGAAAAUCCCCCGGGCUUAAACCUGGGAACUGCAUUGGUGACUGCAAAGGCUAGAGUGUGUCAGAGGGAGGUGGAAUUCCGCGUGUAAGCAGUGAAAUGCGUAGAGAUGCGGAGGAACACCGAUGGCGAAGGCAGCCUCCUGGGAUAACACUGACGCUCAUGCACGAAAGCGUGGGAGCAAACAGGAUU
rnacentral:rRNA from 1 species